rnacentral:rRNA from 1 species
AUUGAACGCUGGCGGCAGGCUUAACACAUGCAAGUCGAGCGAGCGGCGGACGGGUGAGUAAUGUCUGGGAAACUGCCUGAUGGAGGGGGAUACCUACUGGAAACGGUAGCUAAUACCGCAUACCAUCAGAUGUGCCAAGUUGGGAUUAGCUAGUAGGUGGGGUAAUGGCUCACCUAGGCGACGAUCCCUAGCUGGUCUGAGAGGAUGGCCAUCCCCACUGGAACGGAGACACGGUCCAGACUCCACGAUGAACCAUCAUUAACAAAUAUUGCACAAUAGGAGCAAGCCUGAUACAGCCAUGCCGCGUGGGUGAAGAAAUCCUUCGGAGUUUAAAGCACGUUCAGCGAGGAGGCGUUACUCACAGAGAAAGCACCGGCUAACGCCGUGCCAGCCGCCGCGGUAAUAC